GACGGGAAAUGGUGAGAAACGUUGAGAGGCGAAAACCCAAUAGUCAUAAGGGUUUUCUGGCAUUCUGCCUGGUCGACGGAACCCCCAAGUUCGGGCUCAUAACCCGAAGGUCGCGGGUUCAAAUCCCGCCCCCGCUA
rnacentral:tRNA from 1 species